ACGAAAGCACGCAAGAGUGCAGUGUGGGUCAGCCCUAUGGUCCCCAUAGCCCAAUGGUCCCACAGCCCAAUGGACCCACUGUCCUAUGGUCCCACUGUCCUAUGAUCCCACUG